AACGAACGCUGGCGGCAGGCUUAACACAUGCAAGUCGAACGCAUCCUUCGGGGUGAGUGGCAGACGGGUGAGUAACGCGUGGGAAUCUACCCAUCUCUGCGGAAUAGCUCCGGGAAACUGGAAUUAAUACCGCAUACGCCCUACGGGGGAAAGAUUUAUCGGGGAUGGAUGAGCCCGCGUUGGAUUAGCUAGUUGGUGGGGUAACGGCCUACCAAGGCGACGAUCCAUAGCUGGUCUGAGAGGAUGAUCAGCCACAUUGGGACUGAGACACGGCCCAAACUCCUACGGGAGGCAGCAGUGGGGAAUAUUGGACAAUGGGCGCAAGCCUGAUCCAGCCAUGCCGCGUGAGUGAUGAAGGCCUUAGGGUUGUAAAGCUCUUUCACCGAUGAAGAUAAUGACGGUAGUCGGAGAAGAAGCCCCGGCUAACUUCGUGCCAGCAGCCGCCGUAAAAC
rnacentral:rRNA from 1 species